rnacentral:rRNA from 1 species
UGGGGAAUUUUGGACAAUGGGCGUAAGCCUGAUCCAGCAAUGCCGCGUGCAGGAAGAAGGCCUUCGGGUUGUAAACUGCUUUUGUAAGGAACGAAACGGUCUUUUUUAAUACAAGGGGCUAAUGACGGUACCGUAAGAAUAAGCACCGGCUAACUACGUGCCAGCAGCCGCGGUAAUACGUAGGGUGCAAGCGUUAAUCGGAAUUACUGGGCGUAAAGCGUGAGUAGGCGGUGAUGUAAGUCUGUUGUGAAAGCCCCGGGCUCAACCUGGGAACUGCAUCUGUGACUGCAUCGCUGGAGUGCGGUAGAGGGGGAUGGAAUUCCGCGUGUAGCAGUGAAAUGCGUAGAUAUGCGGAGGAACACCGGUGGCGAAGGCGGUCCCCUGGGCCUGCACUGACGCUCAGGCACGAAAGCUUGGGGAGCAAACA